UACAGGGGUGCAAACGUUGCUCGGAAUCAUUGGGCGUAAAGCGCACGUAGGCGGUUCGUUAUGUCGGAUGUGAAAGCCCUUGGCUUAACCGAGGAAGUGCAUCCGAAACUGGCGAGCUAGAGUACGAAAGAGGAUCGCGGAAUUCCCGGUGUAGAGGUGAAAUUCGUAGAUAUCGGGAGGAACACCGGUGGCGAAGGCGGCGAUCUGGGUCGAUACUGACGCUGAGACGCGAAAAGCGUGGGGAGCGAACGGG
rnacentral:rRNA from 1 species